rnacentral:rRNA from 1 species
UACGUAGGUGGCAAGCGUUGUCCGGAUUUACUGGGCGUAAAGAGCGCGCAGGCGGUUGAUUAAGUCGAAUGUGAAAGCCCCCGGCUCAACUGGGGAGGGUCACGCGAUACUGAUCGACUCGAAGGCAGGAGAGGGUAGUGGAAUUCCCGGUGUAGUGGUGAAAUGCGUAGAUAUCCGGAAGAACACCAGUGGCGAAGGCGGCCUGCUGGGCAGUGGACCGUGAAAGGGUCCUUCAACCGACACUGAGGCGCGACAGCGUGGGGAGCAA